rnacentral:miRNA from 1 species
UGAUGGAGAUGGUGUGAAGCAGA